rnacentral:rRNA from 1 species
GUAUGCUUAUAAUACGUAAAACCUGCUCAAUGACAUCAUCUUAAAUAGCCGCAGUAUAAUGUGCUAAGGUAGCAUAAUAAUUUGCCUUAUAAUUAAAGGCCAGAAUGAACGGUUUAACAUAUGAAUUUCUUUAUUAAUAAGGCUACUUAAACUUUACAUAUAAGUAAAAAGGCUUAUAUACUAAGAGGGACGACAAGACCCUGUCGAGCUUCACUUUAGUUUAACUGGGGCGGUCAAAAACAAAUUCUUUAUUCUUCUCUAUAUCCUAUCCUUUAAAAAAGAAUCAAACAAGUUACCGCAGGGAUAACAGCAUAAUUCUUUUUAUAAGACCUUAUUUUAAAAAGAGAUUGUGACCUCGAUGUUGAAUUAUUUAAUCUUUUAGGAGCAAAAUCUUAAAAAGAAAGUCUGUUCGACUUUUAAAAAUUUACAUGAUUUGAGUUCAGACCGGCGUAAGCCAGGUCGGUUUCUAUCUUCUUCACUUAUUCUCAGUACGAAAGGACCAAAAUAAGAGCUUAUAGCUUUUACUUUUAGCAAAAA